rnacentral:lncRNA from 1 species
AUAAGAAGUUCUGAAGGGAGGAAUGAGGAGAAGCUCUAAAAACCAGGAUGAAAUUGCUAAAAUCCAUUCAGAUUUCUCCCUAAAUUUCCUCUAAAUGUGCAAACGGGCCGGGAUUUGGGGAAAGGGUUUAGGGAUCAACCAAGGGUGGGAUUUGGGGGUUCAGCAACCAGAAGAGUGUAAAAAGCUCUGAAGGGAGGAAUGAGGGAAUGAAGAGAAUGAGAAGUAGCUCUAAAAACCAGGAUAAAACUUGCUGAAACCCAUUCAGAUUUCUCCCUAAAUUUCCUCUAAAUGUGCAAAUGGGCUGGGAUUUGGGGAAAGGGUUUAGGGGAUCAACCAAGGGUGGGAUUUGGGGGUUCAGCAGCCGGAGGAGUGUGCUGAGCCCAGCUGGCCAGCUGCCAGCAGCAGGAUGUCCUUCUUCUCCUUGUGGAACCGGAGCUCCUUCCCGGCCAGCCGGG